rnacentral:rRNA from 1 species
AGUGAACAUUGGCGGCGUGGAUUAGGCAUGCAAGUCGAGCGAGAACCGUAGCAAUACGGGGACAGCGGCGAAAGGGACAGUAAUGUGUAGGUACCUACCCCGAGGUCUGGGAUAGCUGCGGGAAACUGCAGGUAAUACCGGAUAAUGUCUUCGGACCAAAGGUGUGAUUCCACCUUGGGAGGGGCCUGCAUCCUAUUAGCUUGUUGGCGGAGUAACGGCCCACCAAGGCGACGAUGGGUAGCGGGUGUGAGCGCACGACCCGCGUCAUUGGGACUGAGACACUGCCCAGACACCUACGGGCGGCUGCAGUCGAGGAUCUUCGGCAAUGGGCGCAAGCCUGACCGAGCGACGCCGCGUGCGGGAUGAAGGCCUUCGGGUUGUAAACCGCUGUCGUAGAGGAGGAAAUGCAGGGGGGUUCUCCCUUCUGUUUGACCUAUUCUAGGAGGAAGGACGGGCUAAGUUCGUGCCAGCCGCCGCGGUAA